UACGGGGGGGGCUAGCGUUGUUCGGAAUUACUGGGCGUAAAGGGCGCGUAGGCGGCCUACUAAGUCGGACGUGAAAUCCCUCGGCUCAACCGGGGAACUGCGUCCGAUACUGGUGGGCUCGAAUCCGGGAGAGGGAUGUGGAAUUCCAGGUGUAGCGGUGAAAUGCGUAGAUAUCUGGAGGAACACCGGUGGCGAAGGCGGCAUCCUGGACCGGUAUUGACGCUGAUUGGCGCGAAAA
rnacentral:rRNA from 1 species